UGGAAAGAGUGAUGCAAAACUCUAAUACUGUGGAAGGUUCUGGAAAGGAUUGCUGGGAUGAUUUGGAGAGAUGUAACUAGGCUUAUAGAAUUGCUGCUGUGGGGAUACUCCCGAAAGUAGGUAGUGGAACUCAUGUCCUUCACUUGGAUUUUAUGGAAAGCUAGUCAUACAAAACAAGGUCUGUGUUUUUUGUUUGUUUGUUUUGUUUUCAGUGGAACCAUAAGUUUAUUGAAAAUAACAACAUUGACUAAUGUAACCUGGUCAUGACUUUAUUCAAAAACACAUUUUGAUUAGAAAAACAAACCCACCAAUCCUAUGCAUAGUCAAUUUUAUCAUCAUAAAACACUUCUCAGCUGUAAUUUAGCUACCUACACCUGCUUCGAGGGGGGACAGCUGGUUCACUGAGUGAUGAUAUGGCACACCUGAGAGUUUGGGAGGAUUUUGUUGUUAGAGACAAGGGAAGCAGAAAGGGUAUAUCUAAAGAAGUAGAGAAUGAGAUUUUGUAUGUGUAUUUUAUAUAUUUUUUUAGUAGGCUCUGUUUAAAGUGAGGUGCAGAGAAAGUGGGAAAGUAAAGGCAGCUGAUCUCUGAUGCGGCUCCUGAGAUGUUUUGUUCUGAUGAGGCCUCACUGAGAUCCCAAGAUGGUAGCAUUUUGCUUACGCUUGUGCUCUGUUACCAGGCUGCUGAUGUGAGGGGCUCCUGCUACAGUCCUCUUUUUGUUCGACUGGAGUUGGGAGUGGUGAUGGAGGCAAUCUUAGACAAUGCCAUAACGCAGGCAAAGAGAGAAGCAAAUCCUUAAAAGAAAGUGUUUCAAAUGCGAAGUUUAGGGCAAGGCAGACUAGAUCAUCACUUGAAACCAGUACAACUCCAUUGACAUCAAAGAGACAACACUAAUUUACGUAAGCUGUGCAUCUGAC
ensembl:lncRNA